rnacentral:rRNA from 1 species
UACGGAGGAUCCAAGCGUUAUCCGGAAUUACUGGGCGUAAAGAGUUGCGUAGGUGGCAUGGUAAGUUGGUAGUGAAAGCGUUCGGCUCAACCGGAUACACAUUAUCAAAACUGCCAAGCUAGAGGACAAGAGAGGUCACUGGAAUUCCUAGUGUAGGAGUGAAAUCCGUAGAUAUUAGGAGGAACACCGAUGGCGUAGGCAGGUGACUGGCUUGUUCCUGACACUAAGGCACGAAAGCAUGGGUAGCAAACGGG